rnacentral:rRNA from 1 species
AUUGAACGCUGGCGGCAUGCCUUACACAUGCAAGUCGAACGGCAGCACGGGAGCAAUCCUGGUGGCGAGUGGCGAACGGGUGAGUGAAGUAUCGGAACGUGCCCAGUCGUGGGGGAUAACGUAGCGAAAGUUACGCUAAUACCGCAUACGAUCUAUGGAUGAAAGCGGGGGAUCGCAAGACCUCGCGCGAUUGGAGCGGCCGAUAUCAGAUUGGGUAGUUGGUGGGGUAAAGGCUCACCAAGCCGACGAUCUGUAGCUGGUCGGAGAGGACGGCCAGCCAAACUGGGACUGAGACACGGCCCAGACUCCUACGGGAGGCAGCAGUGGGGAAUUUUGGACAAUGGGCGAAAGCCUGAUCCAGCCAUGCCGCGUGCAGGAUGAAGGCCUUCGGGUUGUAAACUGCUUUUGUACGGAACGAAAAGGUUUGGCCUAAUAAGCUGAGCUCAUGACGGUACCGUAAGAAUAAGCACCGGCUAACUACGUGCCAGCAGCCGCCGUAA